GACGAACGCUGGCGGCGUGCUUAACACAUGCAAGUCGAACGGAAAGGCCCUGCUUUUGUGGGGUGCUCGAGUGGCGAACGGGUGAGUAACACGUGAGUAACCUGCCCUUGACUUUGGGAUAACUUCAGGAAACUGGGGCUAAUACCGGAUAGGAGCUCCUGCUGCAUGGUGGGGGUUGGAAAGUUUCGGCGGUUGGGGAUGGACUCGCGGCUUAUCAGCUUGUUGGUGGGGUAGUGGCUUACCAAGGCUUUGACGGGUAGCCGGCCUGAGAGGGUGACCGGCCACCUGGGGCCUGAGAUACGGCCCAGACUGCUACGGGAGGCAGCAGUGGGGAAUAUUGCACAAUGGGCCGAAGCCUGAUGCAGCAACGCCGCGUGCGGGAUGCCGGGCUUCGGGUUGUAAACCGCUUUCGCCUGUGACGAAGCGUGAGUGACGGUAAUGGGUAAAGAAGCACCGGCUAACUACGUG
rnacentral:rRNA from 1 species